GUUUUUUUUGUUUUUGCACGCGUAUCUUGUGUUGAACCUGUGACUUUGUUUUCAUUUCAUUCCAUUUUGUUUCGUCGAAAUGUGUCCUUCCAUGUAUUUAAUCCGUUGUUUGUUCGUCUGUAUGUUUAAAUUUGUGUCUCCGCCACAUGUCCCAGCACUGGCACCGCCGGUCACGGCGUAAGUGCAAGCUGCGUAAGGUGCUAUAUAUACGUUUCUGAUCCACUCUGGUGGACCCCUACUCUUAUCGACAAGUUUGGCGGGUUCUUUUCCGUGUGACUCUUCGGAAACACCGGACCGAGGACUUACCUUUCUGCUACGAAGGACAACAGCCAUUACUGGUUUGGUCCACAGAUGGGCACCGUCGGCCAGGUCUACACUACAUUCGCACGUCAUAACUGAUCUUAUGGGUUACAAGCACAACAAAGGACAGUGCAUAUGCCCUCCACCCUUCAUCCUUUGGACAUUCCCAACUCAGAAAAGGGAUGCAGAACGCAUGCGCAGAAAGCAGUGGGUAAAGUUAGUGAACAGGAUAGACAAACUGGCAGGCAAAGUUUGGCAGGCAAACUCGUAAGUACUUAUACAUGAUGCA